UUUUGUCCAUUUGGCAGACACACUCCUAGGUGCGCCCGGUCAGUAUAUCGGACAUCUGUUUGUAUGCACAAUCACUUAAUUUUGCAAACACCCACGUUGAGUAAAUCAGGCCCUCGGUGA